GUAACAAUGGAGAAUAUUCACUUGAUCCAGUCGAUAAACCGCUGUCCAACGCUUUGUUGUUUCUGCUGUUUCUUGUUGUUUCUGGCCAAAGCUUAGUGGGGUGAUCCAGCCCUAAUCAGAAGCCCUAAUUGGCCCGAUUCGGACGGUUUGGAGAUCCCGCGAUAUAUCUAGUACCCGCUGUGAUUUUAAUGAUACUAUCUAUAUUGUCACCUUUGUAGCGGCCGAUUCAGGAACCAGUCGUCCAUGCAUCUAGAUCUAGGUGUACAUGAUUUUCCCCCUCACUUCGUAGCUAUCGAUACCACAUCCUCAUCAGCAAUGACAUGUCCCAGCCCCACCCGCUGUGGAACAUGGCGUGCACUGGCCCCCCAAACCAACGCAUAUUUAAAAUUAUCCUUCAGUGUCCGAUGAAUUUGAUCGCACACAUCUUCGAUCGUAGCGUUAUUGCGCACAAUCAAUGCCUCUGAAAAGUCGGGAUCGACACCCUUUCUGUUAUAAUUGCCGAGCUGCAACUCCUUCCAGCACCGAUCAAUCACGUCCUGAAUACCCAGAUCCAGUUCACAGCUCAUAACGCACGUGUUGGGUUCUCGGGCUAGUUUGUCGAGGAAGUCCAGGCUGACACUGUCUAUUUUGUUGUAGACAUAAAGGCUGGUGGACAAGAAAAAGUGUGUUAGUUCGACAGAUGUUGCGGUUUUAACGAAAAUCAAGAGAAACGAAACUACCAUUUAAUGUAUUUCCUGUGGUCUUUCAUAAUAACGUCGAUAAAGUCAUCAACAGUAGCUGAGCAAGAUAUCCAUUAGUUCUCCUCGCCUCUCGUGCAGCAUACUUAAGAAGAAAAAGGAACGUGGAAAAACAAAGAAAAAAUCCUUGAAUCGACAAACGUACCAUUCUCAUCCCGGACCAAAACUUCGCAAUUCAAAAUCUUGUAGUCGCGUAAUAUAUUGAAGACCAUUUUUUCAUCCAGAUUUUUCGGCGGCGUCUGGAAUGUGAUUUUCAUACCACCUGCUUUUUUCGCUUUCAGGUAAAUGUUUCUUCCAACACAUAAUGGAGAUACACAUAUAUUAGCAUAGAUGUUAUGAAUAGUGUACCGCAUUAAAAGCAGCAAUAACUCACGGCGGUUCCCGAUUUAACCGGAUUCCCACUGCCUCUAAUUCAGCUUCUAGUAGCGCCCGCUGUUCGGCACGUUUUGUAGCAUCAAGAACCAUCAUUAUUAGAUCGCUAGUCUAGCAGUAGAGAUUUUGUUAGAUAUACGAAGUUAAUAUAUUCAAGAACAGAGGAUGAGAGCCAUAAUGAAAACACCGGGGACAUAAUGCCUACACACCUUAGCAGCAGAAAUAACCUGCCUCCCUCUGCCCUUACCCUCGGCUGCGCCUUCGAUAAUACCAGGGAGAUCAAGGAUCUGGAUCUCGGCACCGCCGUACUCCAAAACGCCC
rnacentral:sRNA from 1 species